CCUAACCACCCCACUCUUGUCCUGGACCCCACCUUCCCGUAUUUCCUCUCUCAAAUCCACUCCUUCCCUCUUCGCUGCCUCCACUUUCUUGGGUUCUCUCCACAUUUUCAAAACGCCAGAGGAAAUGUCGGUUUUGGGGAAUGAUAUGUCGGGUUUGGGUAGUGAAACGUCGGUUAUGGAACCUGUAGUGUCGGUUGUUGGCAGGGAGUUUCAUGUGGGGUCCAUUGGGGGUGUGGAUUUGAUGGAAGGAGGGAGUGAGUGUGUUAGUGUUGGAGAAGAUGGGAG
rnacentral:lncRNA from 1 species